UGAAUCAACCUACUCUUCCCACAGAGCUCCCCUGGCUUCUAGAAAGGGCCCCAGCCAAGGAGCCUCUCAGGAGAGCAGAGUGAGGGGUGUGUGUGUGUGUGUGUGUGUGUGUGUAUGUGUGUGUGUGCCAGGGAGGGACAGAACCCAGCAUGACACAGACAGAGAAGAAUCUGUGUGAGAGCGAAUGAGACCGUUGGUCUCGAUUUUCCUUCUCCUCCUCCUCUGCUCUCUGCCCAGUGACUGUCACAGGGCCCGCUUUUCAGUACCUGCUCAGGACAUGUUUACUGAGCAAAUGAAUAAACCAGGGCCUGACAUUCUAGUACGCAGAGGUAUAUUAGGCCCAGCAAGAAGCAUGUUAGGGGUUCAGGACCCUCUGCCCCAUUUUCCCUCCAGGGUCUAACCGAUGAGGCUUGUACACAUGGGCCAUGGUUCCAAGAAGGCCAAGUCUUAGCACAUCCCAGGCCAGCUGAGCACCUGGCACCCUGGGGAGCAGGGAGCGGGGCCCCCACACCCGAGCACAAGAAGUGAGAGGCAGGGGUCACUGGCGAGCGCCACGGCUCAGGGAGGCUCUGCCCUGCCCAGGCGGGAUCCAGCCCAGGACGGCGGGCUCGCCACUUACAUCAGCAGCUUGUCGGAAGCCCCCUCCGCAGCUCGCUUCUGGCGCGGGGCAGGAGAGGCCCCCCACUCCCCAGGAGCAGGUGGGGAAGGGAGAGGAGGGGAGAAGUUCCUUCUCCUGCAGCUUCGCCUUUGAAACCCGAGUCCACCUCCCUCCCCUGGGACCACUGCUGUUUUAGGAGAAACGGGCACAACUGGACGAGAGUCUGCUGGUCACCUGGCUGAGGUGGGCUACCGACAGUAACCAAGGGCUCUUUACAGCCACUUCCAUGUCCAGGGUCGCACAGGGGUGCCCCGUCAACCAGCGGAGCAGGUGUCUCAUUCCUGUCUUACAGGUGGGGCCGCAUUUCUCCAGGAAGACUGCGGGAGCUUGCACCACACAGCCGGCAGCCCGGGGCUGAGGGCAGGCUGCCACGCACAGCUGGGGAAUGACAGUGAUGCCUGGACGGCCUUCUGCGCGCACCGUACUUCCAGAAGCUGAUGUCUAGAAGGGAGCUCCUGCCUUGAGCAAAGCAGAGUGCGAGGCACUUGGUGGAGGGAGCAAGCCUGACCUCAGCGAAGGGCGAGGCCAGGGGAGACGCAGGGCGGCGGGGCCGGCUGGGUGGUAAGCACGGAUCAAGCAGAAGAAAAGGCUUCCCCAGCCUCCCGACGAGCCGCCCCGCGAGUCCCGGGGAGGCGCCUGCUGAGAAUCUCCCGCGGACCCCGAAAUGGAGUCGCAGAGAAGGGCUGGGGCGCAGGAAGGAGGAAGACUUGAAGGAAGGGCUGAGGAGUUUCUGUAGACAUCUGAAAAUUUGGAGACUUUCUCCCGUGCAUCCUCAUCAUAGAAAGUAGAAAGGAACAGGGGAAGAAAGGGAGAGAAGCCAAGUGUAGAAGGAGGAGAGUUGAAGAGAUCACUCAUUAGUCCCGGACCCUAAUUCAGCCUCUGCUUAUGGAGUGUCUGCUGCGUGGAAGCUGUGUCCUGGCUGGGACCGGCCUCCCCACUCACCUGAAGGCCACCCCGACACGAAGACCGUGGUUCCGAUGCUCAGUCCUCCGGUACCUACCUGUGUCACUCUAUUCUGAAACACUGCAACCUUGGUACUUUGGGUGGUUAAAUACCAUCAUGUAGGCAUUUUAAAAAAACUUGCCACGUGCUACGCUGGGCACCUCUCCUCUACCUGGUGACCAGGGGAUUCAUCUCCUGCUGUCUUAACAGGCACCUAGAGGCAUGUGCUGCACCGAACAUUCCUCGUCGAGCAAAGGAGUGCGCUUUUAACAAGUGGUUCUGACCACAUCUCCACUAUGUUUCAUCUAAUCCAAGACACACUGUGCUGUUAUGCACCGUGGAAGGGAAGAGCACUGCUCUUCUAGGCCCCUAGUUAUCCAGUGAUACACUGCUGACUGUGGGACGCACCCUGGUUCCCAAACCGUGAGAAUGUGGAAGAAAAGAAACACGUUUCACAGACGAUAGUAGUUUAGACCUUCCUCCAACACGUUGUUUUCUUUCUCGUUCCUUGGCUUCCUUGGGAAGGUGAAUGCAUUUUCUUGGGUCUGUUGACCGUUUGUUCUCUAGAGCCAGUUGGGCUUUGAUCUAUUCCCAGAGCCUCAGACGGCGUCUCCGUUAAGAAGAGAAUGGAGUGGAGUGGCAGGGGGAGGUGGCCCUGGCCUGGUUCCCCAGCCUUGCCUGGAGAGACCCUGCCGCCUCUUGCUUUAGAGAUGGAGUCCCUCUGCUCUCCUCCCCUGCCUUGCUUCUGGACCACAUCCAUCCUCCUAGGGCCUGAGCCUUUCCAAGAAUCACUUACCUCUACUAGGAGGCCCUCAAGAGUAGUGGACGGGAACAUCCCACCAGGAGGGACUCAAGCCAGGACCGAGGUUCCUCGGUCCUGGCCUUAGACUCUCCCGGAUGGAGCAGCGUCUGAAGGCAAAGAGUGGAAGGCAAUGGGGAGUUGGUAAGAAGUCACCACUGGUGGAAAAGCUACUCAGCCCUUUCCCUCUGGUUGCGGCAACUGUUCUUGGCCAUUAACUCUCAGUCACUCAGGGAGUUUUCAGGUGGAGCUAGAAGGAUCUAGAAGCUACAUGUACACUUAUUUCACAGACCCCAUCUAAUGUCUGCCCGGAGACACGGCUCCUUUCUAAGGGCCCUUCCAGUAACUACAUUUGUUGAGCAUCUGAGAGGCACUGGGUAUCGCCUUCUCAGCUGUGCUAGUCAGGACAGGCUGGGUUAUGCUGCAGAGACAAGCACCCAGUUGUUGGUGACUUAAGCCAGUGAGAGUCCAUGGGUCUUGUCACUGGCGGAGGGUCCAGCGUGGGCAUCGCCAUCAGAUGGCUCUGCUGGCCGGCUCUCCUCCGGGAGGCCACUCAGGGGUCCGGCUCCUUCUUACUCAGUUUAGGCUCUGCUGGCCUUGAGACCCUUGCCGUCUUCCAGGCCUUAGAGCCCUUCAAGUCCUCCUCGGGGCCUUCUGCACCCAGCCAGCCAACCAACAAGGGGUGCCUGGGGAGGGUCCAGGGGCCGGGCCUGCCAGUGGCAAAUCUCACUUCCGCCACAUUCCACUGGCCAGAGCUUGUCCCAUGGCCCUGCCCAGGUAUGAGGGCCAUGCCCAGGAGGAGCCUGAAAUGUCCAAGUGGUCACUUACUG